AUUGCCUCAGUAACGGCGAGUGAAGCGGCAAGAGCUCAAAUUUGAAAGCUGGCCCCCAGCGGGGUCCGCAUUGUAAUUUGCAGAGGAUGCUUCGGGCACGGCCCCCGUCUAAGUGCCCUGGAACGGGCUGUCGGAGAGGGUGAGAAUCCCGUCUGGGACGGGGUGUCCGGGUCCGUGUGAAGCUCCUUCGACGAGUCGAGUUGUUUGGGAAUGCAGCUCUAAAUGGGUGGUAAAUUUCAUCUAAAGCUAAAUACUGGCCGGAGACCGAUAGCGCACAAGUAGAGUGAUCGAAAGAUGAAAAGCACUUUGAAAAGAGAGUUAAACAGCACGUGAAAUUGUUGAAAGGGAAGCGCUUGCGAUCAGACUCGCCCGCAGGGUUCAGCCGGCACUCGUGCCGGUGUACUUCCCUGCGGGCGGGCCAGCGUCAGUUCGGGUGGCCGGUCAAAGGCCCCGGGAAUGUGUCGCCCUCCGGGGCGUCUUAUAGCCCGGGGUGCCAUGCGGCCCGCCUGGACUGAGGAACGCGCUUCGGCACGGACGCUGGCGUAAUGGUCGUAAGCGGCCCGUCUU
rnacentral:rRNA from 1 species